rnacentral:misc_RNA from 1 species
GAUGAAGAACGCAGCGAAAUGCGAUACUUGGUGUGAAUUGCAGAAUCCCGCGAAUCAUCGAGUUUUUGAACGCAAGUUGCGCCCGAAGCCAUUCGGCCGAGGGCACGUCUGCCUGGGUGUCACGCAUCGUUGCCCCCCCAAACUCCGGUUCGGGCGGGGCGGAAGUUGGCCUCCCGUGCGUGCCUGCGCGCGCGGUUAGCCCAAAAGCGAGUCCUCGGCGAUGAGCGCCACGACAAUCGGUGGUUUUUUUACCCUCGUUCCUCGUCGUGCGUGCCCCGUCGCCCGAACGCGCUCUUGCAACCCUUACGCGUCGCCUCGGUGGCGCUCCCAACGCGACGCCAGGUCAGGCGGGACUACCCGCUGAGUUUAAGCAUAUCAAUAAGCGGAGGA